GCAAUGCUAACACCAUGUUGUCUGGAUCAC
rnacentral:piRNA from 1 species